rnacentral:misc_RNA from 1 species
UCUGCCCUAGAGUCCUUGAAUGUUGAAAACGCCUUCACCGAAGUACUAACCCAGAUAUAUCGUGUUGUCAGUCGGAAGGCUCUUGAGGUUGGGGAUGAUCCAGCAGCCUUGCCCAAGGGACAGACUAUUAAUGUUGGCAAAGAUGAUGUCUCAGCUAUGAAAAAAGUUGGAUGCUGCUCAGCAUAGUCAGAAUAAAUGAAGUAUUGGUGUUAGUAUUUUCUCUAAAGAUUUGCAUUUCAGUGGUUUGAAGAUGCCUUUGUUUCUUUGCAAACAUGUCCAAAAGAAGCCACCUGGAAUGCUCAUAAAGCAUUUGUAGUUUGAUGGCUUAGAGAUUAGCAAACUUGCUUAAGUUGAGAAACAACUCAAGGGUUCAGAUUCAAGAGAAUAUCACAUUUGGCUGGCAUUUCUGUUACUUUUCUUGUUAUUCUUUUGUAUGUUUGUUUCAAUGGGUGUUGUUGUAUGCCGUAGACAGAUCCAACCCUCUAGAUUAGGUUAUAUUUUAUUGCUCAGAUUUGAAAUUUAUGUUGAGACUAUGGUGCUUUUACUGGAUUUAUUGAUUAAUUGAUUAGCCCGUCCUG